rnacentral:rRNA from 1 species
GUUUUCGGUUAAAUUCAUGUGCUCAACGCAUGAGCCGCCGAAAAUACUGCAUAGCUAGGGANNNGGNNNGGUAGACNGUACUCNGUAGGAAGGGGUAAAAUCCNUUGAUCUAUCGAUGACCACCUGUGGCGAAGGCGGUCUACCAGAACACGUUCGACGGUGAGGGAUGAAAGCUGGGGGAGCAAACCGGAUUAGAUACCCGGGUAGUCCCAGCUGUAAACGAUGCAGACUCGAUGAUGCAUUGGCAUAUAGCCAGUGCAGUGUCGCAGGGAAGCCGUUAAGUCUGCCGCCUGGGAAGUACGUACGCAAGUAUGAAACUUAAAGGAAUUGGCGGGGGAGCACCACAAGGGGUGAAGCCUGCGGUUCAAUUGGAGUCAACGCCAGAAAUCUUACCCGGAGAGACAGCAGAAUGAAGGUCAAGCUGAAGACUUUACCAGACAAGCUGAGAGGUGGUGCAUGGCCGUCGCCAGCUCGUGCCGUGAGAUGUCCUGUUAAGUCAGGUAACGAGCGAGAUCCCCGCCACUAGUUGCUAUCAUUAUUCUCAGGAAUAGUGGGGCGAAUUAGUGGGACUGCCGUUGUUAAAACGGAGGAAGGAGGGGGCCACGGCAGGUCGGUAUGCCCCGAAACUCUGGGGCCACACGCGGGCUGCAAUGGUAGCGACGAUGAGUUCCAAACUCGAAAGAAGGUGGUAAUCUCUAAACGCUACCACAGUUAUGACUGAGGGCUGUAACUCGCCCUCACGAAUAUGGAAUCCCUAGUAACCGCGUGUCAUUACCGCGCGGUGAAUACGUCCCUGCUCCUUGCACACACCGCCCGUCGUUUCAUCGAAGUUUGCUUUUAGCGAGGUGAUGUUUAAUUGACAUUAUCGAACUUGAGGUAAGUGACGAGGGAAAAGUCGUAACAAGGUAGCCA